CUCGUAGGCGGUUCGUCGCGUCCGGUGUGAAAGUCCAUCGCUUAACGGUGGAUCCGCGCCAGGUACGGGCGGGCUUGAGUGCGGUAGGGGAGACUGGAAUUCCCGGUGUAACGGUGGAAUGUGUAGAUAUCGGGAAGAACACCAAUGGCGAAGGCAGGUCUCUGGGCCGUUACUGACGCUGAGGAGCGAAAGCGUGGGGAGCGAACA
rnacentral:rRNA from 1 species